GUCAUCUUUCAAAGUUACGACCAUCUUGUGUCGGUUACGACCAUCAUCCAAAAUACUAUAGUUGACAUUACGACCAUCACAAGUUAAAGUUACAACCAUCAUGCUCGAAUUUUUGAAUGACUGUUUUACGAAAAUUUGAAUGAUUUAAUGUGUCAAAUUUGGUUUCAAUAACAACGCACUCACGAUAUGUGUAUAUGAGACAAGCGGUUUGACUCAAAUGAACCUUUUUCUGCAC
rnacentral:lncRNA from 1 species